rnacentral:rRNA from 1 species
AUUGAACGCUGGCGGCAGGCCUAACACAUGCAAGUCGAGCGGAUGAGGGGUGCUUGCACUCCGAUUCAGCGGCGGACGGGUGAGUAAUGAAUAGGAAUCUGCACGAUAGUGUGGGACAACGUUUCGAAAGGAACGCUAAUACCGCAUACGUCCUACGGGAGAAAGUGGGGGCUCUUCGGACCUCACGCUAUAGGAUGAGCCUAGGUAGGAUUAGCUAGUUGGUGGGGCAAAGGCCCACCAAGGCGACGAUCCGUAACUGGUCUGAGAGGAUGAUCAGUCACACUGGAACUGAGACACGGUCCAGACGCCUACGGGAGGCAGCAGUGGGGAAUAUUGGCCAAUGGGCGAAAGCCUGAUCCAGCCAUGCCGCGUGUGUGAAGAAGGUCUUCGGAUUGUAAAGCACUUUAAGUUGGGAGGAAGGGCUGUAAGUUAAUACCUGGCAGUUUUGACGUUACCGACAGAAUAAGCACCGGCUAACUUCGUGCCAGCCGCCGCAGUAAUAC